CCUCAGUUAGCUCCUUCAUCCCGAGUUCUGGACCAGCAAAUUGAAAGUAAUGAAGCUGAGGAGAAGAAGGGCAGGAAAGGGUGAAAGAGUUGGGAACUUGAAGGCUCAUGCAUAGAACCAGGAAAAGCAACGGAAUGAGAACAGCAGAGGCACGGACCGGGAUGGGAAACAUCAAGAAGCCACAGCCCUCUCCUGAAAGAGGCACAGGCACUUGGGUCGUAAGGGUCUUCAUGAAGAGAAGCCAUCAGGGAAAUGCAAUCAAAACUACGCUGAGAUUUGGACUUCCACCAGUCAAGAAAGCCAACAACAAAAGCUGGAGAGCUGGGAGCGAAGGGCUUGUAUACUUCCGGUGUGAAUGUCAAUUAGUGCAAACACAGUGAGAACAGCACGGAGACUCCUCAAACAGCUAAUAGUCCCAGUGCUUCGGAGCCAGAGACAGAAAGAUCAUGAGUUUGAGGUAAGCCUGGGCUAUACAGCAAUUUUCCAGGAUAGCCUCGAAUAAAUAUUAAGACUAUAUCUUG
rnacentral:lncRNA from 1 species